CCUCCAGCGUGACCUGUGACAGUCAGUUGUCCAAUGAGAGACGAAGAUGUUGGGACACGCCGUAACACUUCUCCGUCUGCUACAAGCGUGAGGACGGUGUGGCUCGUAACGUGGAGCUGAGGAGAGGAAAAUGGAAAGGAAAAAUGAAAAGAAUGAAGACAAAGGCAAAGGGGGAAAUAAACUUUCACUGCCUGACAAACCAGACGCUUUAGUACAAGACGAAAGAGUACCGAAUUUCAGCCUUCUGCCCAAGACUGUGAAGCGAAGAGUUUAUGCCCUUAAGAGACUCCAGCUCCAGAGUGCCAACAUGGAGGCAAAGUUCUACGAGGAAGUCCAUGAGCUGGAGAGAAAGUACGCCGCACUCUACAAGCCCAUCUUUGACAAGAGACGAGUGAUUGUGACCGGUGCCGUUGAACCCACAGAUGAGGAAUGCGAGUGGCAAAGUGACAGAGAGGACGAGGAGCUGGCUGAGGAUUUGCAGAAGAAAGCCGCUCUGGAGGAGAAGCAGGCGGAUUCAGCCAGUGCCGUCGAUCCGAAAGGUAUCCCAGAAUUCUGGUUAACCAUCUUUAAACACGUGGAUAUACUGAGUGAAAUGCUGCAGGAGCACGAUGAGCCAAUCCUGAAACACUUGCAGGACAUCACUGUGAAAUUUUCUGAACCUGGACAGCCAAUGAGUUUCACGUUAGAGUUCCGCUUUGAGCACAACAGCUACUUCAGUAACACUGUCCUCACUAAAGUCUACAAGAUGAAGUCAGAGCCAGACGCAGCCGAUCCCUUCUCUUUUGAGGGCCCGGAGAUCGUGGACUGUGAAGGUUGUAAAAUCGAUUGGCAUAAAGGUAAAGACGUGACAGUCAAGGUCAUCAAAAAGAAACAGAAGCACAAAGGAAGAGGAACCAUCCGGACGGUCAGCAAAGAGAUUUCACAGGACUCUUUCUUCAACUUCUUCAACCCUGUUAAAGCAACACCUGAUGGAGUGGAUGAAGAUUUGGACUUCACUCUAGCUACAGAUUUUGAGACGGGACACUUCUUCAGAGAGAGGAUCAUCCCCAGAGCAGUGCUUUAUUUCACAGGAGAAGCCUUGGAGGACGACGAGAGUUUUGAAGAGGAGGAUCUUGAAGAGGAGGAGUUAGAAAAGAUAAGCAUGUCUUGUUCAGGACCUGGAUGAGGAAGGUGAAGAAGAGGAUGAGGGAGAUGUCGGCCCCAUGGCUUAAUUCAUUUCUCACUUCAUGCAUUUGUAGACGGACCCUCCUCCUGAAGAGUGUAAACAGCAGUAAGAAUGGUCAACGGGCAGUCACGGCACAACUCGGCUGCCUGUCAGACGAUAAAAGUGACAACAAGGCCUAACCUCCUCAUGGACUCUGAACUAAUGCAAUAGAAACCAAACGCUGUUUAGAAAACGAUGCAUGUUCUACUGUUUACUUUGAAAGAGAUGACCUCUGCUCUCCAGUUUAGUGUUCUUAUUUCUUCAUGUGAUACAUAGCCUCAGUUCUCCGCAAUAUGGGAUUAACAGAUAAAAACGAUUUCUUUUGGGCUGAGGCAAUGUUUCUUGUCAAAAUGUUUGCCUGUAGCUGGUGUGUAAAUGCAAGCUAGCGAAGAUGCCACGUGUUUUGAAUUCCUUGUGUCCAUGCUCAACCUUUGCCAGUUUUGCAGUAGAGCUGAAUCUUGGACACAGCCCAGGUCAUAUGAACUCGCAGCCGUUGUCCACAGUAGCGUCACUCAGGGUUUUUAUGCCAACAAAAUCAUGAUCAUCUAAAGUAGAUGACUGACACAACUGAUUCUUUUUGGUUUUGCUGUUACGAAAUAUUUACAAAGGUGUCAGCGGGUUUUUGUAAAAGUGGACGUGGCUGGUUCUACUCACUGGUAGCCAAACAAUGUGAAUUGUGGUAAAGGAGUAGCUAUGAUUUGUCACCAGGGUUGGGCUUCAUCAAAUUCCCAUUCCUGCGUGUGACGUGUUGCCAUGCUGUGAACUCCGUAUUUAAUUUGGUGUUAAGUUGCUUGCAUUCAUGCAUAGAAUUGAUGAAAUUACAGUAUUGAGAAUGUUAACAAGCAGAUACUAUAGCCAUUGCAGGUCUACUCUCCGUAUUAACUGUGUGCAAGCCAUAGCCUUAUCUGAAACUUCUUGGUUCGUAAUGCAGCAUUGUUUCCAUUUUGUACAAAAUAGACAAAAUAUUCUAUUAAAUGUUGUGCGACACGA